rnacentral:rRNA from 1 species
GAUGAACGCUAGCUACAGGCUUAACACAUGCAAGUCGAGGGACCGGCGCACGGGUGAGUAACACGUAUCCAACCUGCCCUUUACUCGGGGAUAGCCUUUCGAAAGAAAGAUUAAUACCCGAUAUAAAGGAUGGGGAUGCGUUCCAUUAGGUUGUUGGUGAGGUAAAGGCCCACCAAGCCUUCGAUGGAUAGGGGUUCUGAGAGGAAGGUCACCCACAUUGGAACUGAGACACGGUCCAAACUGCGACGGGAUGCAGCAGUGAGGAAUAUUGGUCAAUGGGCGUUAGCCUGAACCAGCCAAGUAGCGGGAAGGAGGAAGGCUUAUGGGUCGUAAACUUCUUUUAUAGAAGAAUAUGUAUUAUAUGAAUAAGGAUCGGCUAACUCCGUGCCAGCAGCCGCGGUAAUUC